rnacentral:rRNA from 1 species
GACGAACGCUGGCGGCGUGCUUAACACAUGCAAGUCGAACGGAAAGGCCCUGCUCUUGUGGGGUGCUCGAGUGGCGAACGGGUGAGUAACACGUGAGUAACCUGCCCUUGACUUUGGGAUAACUUCAGGAAACUGGGGCUAAUACCGGAUAGGAGCUCCUGCUGCAUGGUGGGGGUUGGAAAGUUUCGGCGGUUGGGGAUGGACUCGCGGCUUAUCAGCUUGUUGGUGGGGUAGUGGCUUACCAAGGCUUUGACGGGUAGCCGGCCUGAGAGGGUGACCGGCCAAAUGGGGACUGGGAUACGGCCCAGACCCCUAGGGGGGGCAGGAGUGGGGAAUUUUGCACAAGGGGGGGAAGCCUGAUGCAGCAACGCCGGGGGCGGGAAGACGGCCUUCGGGGUGUAAACCGCUUUCGCCUGGGACGAAGCGUGAGUGACGGUAAUGGGUAAAGAAGCACCGGCUAACUACGU